UUGCCUCUUGAGAACACGACCGUUGCACAAGUAACCUAAAAUCUGCCGAGGAGUUGCUCCCUCGGUUCCAUCGGGCCACGAACGUGUUUUCCCUUUGGGGUGCACCGGGCGUGGUUCCGGAAUACGGCGUGAGAUUACGCCAAGGAACACACACUGCCGAGCAGACGGUGAUGCUUCGGCAUCAUGCGGUCUGUCGAGGCCAAAGUAAUAAAUUGAGAUGACUCCCGGCAACGGAUAUCUCGGCUCUCGCAUCGAUGAAGAACGUAGCGAAAUGCGAUACAUGGUGUGAAUUGCAGAAUCCCGUGAACCAUCGAGUCUUUGAACGCAAGUUGCGCCCGAGGGACCAUCCCGAGGGCACGCCUGCCUCAUGGGCGUUAGAAGCCCAUCCACGCUCGGCGUAGCUGCAUUGCAGCANGCACCGAUGCGGACAUUGGCCCUCCGAGCCGUGAGGCACGACGGGCACAAGUGUAUGGCCAUCGGCUGAGGCCGGGAGCAGCGAGUGGUGGGCUACUGCGCACGCUGCCUUCGAGUCGAAUGUCGAUUGAGGGCCAAGUUUGAUCCCAAAACGAUGUUCUGUCGUCGUGUGCGGCAGCUUCGGACCAAU
rnacentral:rRNA from 1 species